UUGAAAGGGAAACGAUUGAAGUCAGUCGUACCGACGAGAAAUCAGCUUAUCGUGUGUUAACUUGUGGGCGUGCGUGAGUUUCGGCCUCGCUGUUUGCAUGUUUGUGCGCUUUGGGUGUACUUUUUCGUAUGGUUGGCCAACAUCAGUUUCGAUCACUAUAAAAUGACUGGCGGAAUGUAGCUUCGAUUUCGGUUGAAGUGUUAUAGCCUUCGGUAGAUGUGACGAUCGGGAUUGAGGAUUGCAACGGAUACCCUUCGGGGCUACCUGUCUGAUCUCUGAUUGUUGCUCUGGUGCCGAAAGCUUGCUUACGGUUAUCAAAGUCGAUUGUCAAUAGGUUAGAACGGGUUAAAUUCGUUAAGGAUGUUGACGUA
rnacentral:rRNA from 1 species